UACGGAGGGUGCAAGCAUUGAUCGGAAUUACUGGGCGUAAAGGGCGCGUAGGCGGCAAAGAAAGUCAGAUGUGAAAUUCCGGGGCUCAACCCCGGAGCUGCAUUCGAAACUACUUAGCUAGAGUACAGUUAGGGUAAACGGAAUUCCACGUGUAGCGGUGAAAUGCGUAGAUAUGUGGAAGAACACCGGUGGUGAAAACGGUUUACUGGGCCGAAACUGACGCUGAGGCGCGAAAGCAUGGGGAGCAAACAGG
rnacentral:rRNA from 1 species